rnacentral:misc_RNA from 1 species
GGACUACUGGGGUUUCUAAUCCUGUUUGCUCCCCACGCUUUCGCGUCUCAGCGUCAGAAACGAGCCAGGAAGUCGCCUUCGCCACUGAUGUUCCUCCUGAUAUCUACGGAUUUCACCCCUACACCAGGAAUUCCACUUCCCUCUCUCGCCCUCUAGCCAAGCAGUAUCCAGUGCACUUCCGGGGUUGGGCCCCGGGCUUUCACACCAGACUUACUUGGCCGCCUACACGCGCUUUACGCCCAAUGAUUCCGAACAACGCUUGCACCCUCCGUAUUACCGCGGCUGCUGGCACGGAGUUAGCCGGUGCUUCUUCUGCGGGUACCGUCAAGUUGCCCUUCGUCCCCGCUGAAAGAGGUUUACGACCCGAGGGCCUUCGUCCCUCACGCGGCAUUGCUGGAUC